rnacentral:rRNA from 1 species
AACGAACGCUGGCGGCGUGCCUAACACAUGCAAGUCGAACGGAGAUAAGGGGCUUGCUCCUUAUUUUAGUGGCGCACGGGUGAGUAACGCGUAGAUAAUCUGCCUGAUGAUCUGGGAUAACACUUCGAAAGGGGUGCUAAUACCGGAUAAGCCCACGACGGCCUUGGUCGUUGCGGGAAAAGGGGGGGACCUUUUGGCCUUCUGUCAUCAGAUGAGUCUGCGUACCAUUAGCUAGUUGGUAGGGUAAUAGCCUACCAAGGCGACGAUGGUUAACUGGUCUGAGAGGAUGAUCAGCCACACUGGAACUGAGACGCGGUCCAGACUCCUACGGGAGGCAGCAGUGGGGAAUUUUGCGCGAUGGGGGAAACCCUGACGCAGCAACGCCGCGUGAGUGAUGAAGGCUCUUGGGUCGUAAAGCUCUGACAGAGGGAAAGAAAUGUGGGUGGCUAAUAUCCAUACCACUUGACGGUACCCUCAAAGGAAGCACCGGCUAACUCCGUGCCAGCAGCCGCAGUAACAC